rnacentral:rRNA from 1 species
AUUGAACGCUGGCGGAAUGCUUUACACAUGCAAGUCGAACGGCAGCACGGACUUCGGUCUGGUGGCGAGUGGCGAACGGGUGAGUAAUGUAUCGGAACGUGCCCAGUCGUGGGGGAUAACGUAGUGAAAAUUACGCUAAUACCGCAUACGAGCUAUGGAUGAAAGCGGGGGAUCGCAAGACCUCGCGCGAUUGGAGCGGCCGAUAUCAGAUUAGGUAGUUGGUGGGGUAAAGGCCCACCAAGCCAACGAACUGUAGCUGGUCUGAGAGGACGACCAGCCACACUGGAACUGAGACACGGUCCAGACUCCUACGGGAGGCAGCAGUGGGGAAUUUUGGACAAUGGGCGAAAGCCUGAUCCAGCCAUUCCGCGUGCAGGAUGAAGGCCCUCGGGUUGUAAACUGCUUUUGUACAGAACGAAAAGGUUUCUACUAAUACUAGGAGCUCAUGGCGGUACUGUAAGAAUAAGCACCGGCUAACUACGUGCCAGCCGCCGCAGUAA